AACGAACGCUGGCGGCAGGCUUAACACAUGCAAGUCGAACGCAUCCUUCGGGGUGAGUGGCAGACGGGUGAGUACCGCGUGGGAACGUGUCCUUCAGUUCGGGAUAACCCAGGGAAACUUGGGCUAAUACCGGAUACGUGCGAGAGCAGAAAGAUUUAUCGCUGAGGGAAGGGCCAGCGUCUGAUAAGCUAGUUGGUGGGGUAAUGGCCCACCAAGGCGACGAUCAGUAGCUGGUCUGAGAGGAUGAUCAGCCACAUUGGGACUGAGACCCGGCCCAAACUCCUACGGGAGGCAGCAGUGGGGAAUAUUGGACAAUGGGCGCAAGCCUGAUCCAGCCAUGCCGCGUGAGUGAUGAAGGCCUUAGGGUUGUAAAGCUCUUUCGUCCGGGACGAUAAUGACGGUACCGGAAGAAGAAGCCCCGGCUAACUUCGUGCCAGCCGCCGCCGUAA
rnacentral:rRNA from 1 species